rnacentral:tRNA from 1 species
GGACAGAUGGCCGAGCUGGUUAUGGCGCCAGGUUAAGGUAUGGAUACAUUUCCUGGUCACGAAAGUGGCGUGGGUUCGAGUCCCACUCUGUUCA